rnacentral:rRNA from 1 species
UAGUCCACGCCGUAAACGAUCACUACUAACCGUCGCGGGUAUGACCCCUGCGGUGGUACAGCUAACGCGUUAAGUAGUGCGCCUGGGGAGUACGGUCGCAAGACUAAAACUCAAAGGAAUUGACGGGGGCCCGCACAAGCGGUGGAUUAUGUGGUUUAAUUCGAAGCAACGCGCAAACCUUACCUGGGCUUGAAAUCCUGCGAACUAACUAGAGAUAGUAUGGUGCCCUUCGGGGAACGCAGUGACAGGUGCUGCAUGGCUGUCGUCAGCUCGUGUUGUGAAAUGUUGGGUUAAGUCUCGCAACGAGCGCAACCCCUAUCUUUAGUUGCCAGCAUUAAGUUGGGCACUCUAGAGAGACUGCCUGGGUUAACCAGGGAGGAAGGGUGGGGAUGGACGUCAAGUCCUCAUGGCCCUUAUGUCCAGGGGCUACACACGUAAUACAAUGGUG